AUUGAACGCUGCCGGCAGGCCUAACACAUGCAAGUCGAACGAGUGGCGGACGGGUGAGUGAUGUCUGGGAAACUGCCUGGUGGAGGGGGAUAACUACUGGAAACGGUAGCUAAUACCGCAUACCAUCGGAUGUGCUCAUAGGGGAGUAGCUAGUGGGUGGGGUAAAGGCUCACCUGGGCGACGAUCCCUAGCUGGUCUGAGAGGAUGACCGGCCAAAAUGGGACGGAUACACGGUCCAGAGUCGUACGGGAGGAGGAAGUGGGGAAUAUUGAACAAUGGGCGCAAGCCUGAUGCAGCCAUCACGCGUGUAUGAAGAAGGACUUCGGGUUGUAAAGUACUCUCAGGGGGGAGGCGUUACGCGCAGAAGAAGCACCGGCGAAGUCCGUGCCAGCAGCCGCGGUAAUUC
rnacentral:rRNA from 1 species